UUUCGCAAUGCCCGAAAGGGUGACGAAGCGACGCCGCGUGAGUGAGGAAGGCCUUCGGGUUGUAAAGCUCUGUCAGGAGUUAAGAAAUAUAAGUGUGUUAAUACCACAUUUAUUUGACGAAGGCUCCAAAGGAAGCCACGGCUAACUCUGUGCCAGCAGCCGCGGUAAUACAGAGGUGGCAAGCGUUGUUCGGAAUUAUUGGGCGUAAAGAGCACGUAGGUGGGUUUGUAAGUCAGAUGUGAAAGCCUUCUGUUCAACGGAAGAAUUGCAUCUGAAACUGCGAGUCUUGAGUGUAGGAGGGGGGAAUGGAACUUCUGGUGGAGCGGUGAAAUGCGUAGAUAUCAGAAGGAACGCCGGCGGCGAAAGCGAUUCUCUGGCCUAUUACUGACACUCAGUGUGCGAAAGCUAGGGGAGCAAACGGGAUUAGAUACCCCGGUAGUCCUAGCUGUAAACGAUGGGCACUAAGUAGAGGGGUUUUA
rnacentral:rRNA from 1 species